AUUGAACGCUGGCGGCAUGCCUUACACAUGCAAGUCGAACGGUAACGGGCCUUCGGGUGCCGACGAGUGGCGAACGGGUGAGUAAUACAUCGGAACGUGCCCGAUCGUGGGGGAUAACGAGGCGAAAGCUUUGCUAAUACCGCAUACGAUCUACGGAUGAAAGCAGGGGACCGCAAGGCCUUGCGCGGACGGAGCGGCCGAUGGCAGAUUAGGUAGUUGGUGGGAUAAAAGCUUACCAAGCCGACGAUCUGUAGCUGGUCUGAGAGGAUGAUCAGCCACACUGGGACUGAGACACGGCCCAGACUCCUACGGGAGGCAGCAGUGGGGAAUUUUGGACAAUGGGCGCAAGCCUGAUCCAGCCAUGCCGCGUGCAGGAUGAAGGCCUUCGGGUUGUAAACUGCUUUUGUACGGAACGAAAAGCCUUCUUUUAAUACAGGAGGGUCAUGACGGUACCGUAAGAAUAAGCACCGGCUAACUUCGUG
rnacentral:rRNA from 1 species